UAUAGAUAGAAGGAGUAUACUCUAAAAUAUCGAUCAAAAGUAUAGUGUGAAUACACGAACCAGUAACAUAUUUAUUAUCAAGUAUUACAUACUGUACACAAUCGUGUGCGCUGCGGUUUUAUACACCAGGCUUAUUUGGUAUUUUUAGUAGAGACCGGGUUUCACCAUGUUGGUCAGGCUGGUCUUGAACUCCUGACCUCAUGUGAUCCACCUGCCCUGGCCUCCCAAAGUGCUGGGAUUACAGGCAUGAGUCACAGUGCUCAGCCAUAGUUUGGUGAUUCUAACGUGUAGUGAUACCUUAUGGUUUAAAUGGGCAUUUCCCUCAUGAUAUCAAACAUUUUUUCAUGUGUUUAUUUGCCAUCUAUAUAGCUUUUUCCGUGAAAUGUUGCUUUGUAUCUUUUGCUCAUGUUCUAAUUGGAUUGUUUUGUUUUGUUACUGUUUAAUUUUUAGACUUUAAAAAAAUGUUUUCUAGAUACUAGUCCUUCCUUGGGCUGUAAUCCCAGCUACUGGGGAGGCUGAGGCAGGACAAUCCCUUGAACCCAGAAGGCAGAGGUUGCAGUGAGCUGAGAUCAUACCACUGCAUUCCAGCCUGGGUGACAGAGCAAGACUCUGUCUCAAAAAAAAAAAAAAGAUAAUCUCCAAAGUUCCUUGAGCUACGUGGCUCUGUCACUCUGAUUUUUCAGAUUCUUCCCCAGGAGACUGGAGUUUCCAGGACGUGAAAAUUAUCCCUGCUUAAGUGAGCUAUUCCAAGCAGCUGGGAUACCUGCGUCACUCCUGCUGUCAGCGACUGCCCAGGUGUUAGCUGGUUCCUCCCAGCUGGGGAGGAACCAGAUGGGUUGGCUGGGAUGGGCAGAUAUUUAAAGACUGGGCCUUGGACCCAAAACACUGCUCUCUCCGCUCGUGCCUGCUGCCAUGUGGCUGCUGCUUCUCCUCCUGCUGUGGCUGAGCCCUGGGGUGAAGACAGGCAGCUGCUCCCAACCCCAGCGCCUUUGCUGUCUUGGAACAGAUCACCACUGCAAGAGGGGAGGUUGCUACUGUGAUGAAUUCUGCCAUGUGGUACCAGACUGCUGCCCAGACUACAGUCUCCUCUGCAACCCUGCUUCUCAGAUGACCAAGAUGGGGCUGCAGAUGGUGCUGAGGAUGGAGAACCCACCCAGCCCUGCUAGGAGCCGUCUAGACUGGGUGCAGAGCAUGGUUCAGCGGCUUCUCCAAACCGGCCUCCCAGGAAUGCCGUUCUCCAUGGCCAUAGAGGGGAUCAAGAAGAAAGCCUGAUGCCGCUCCUGAGGCCCCUUCUGCACACCGAGCCAGCAGGAUCCAUGGAGCAGAGGUCAUCCGUCCCCAGCGUGGCUGGCUGAGGCCAGAAUUGCUGGGCCAGGUGUGCUUGUCUCUCAGCUCGCAUCCUGUGUACUUCUGCAUUGGUUUAGCCAGAGCAAAACUGAAAUCUACAGCUGUCAUGAACACAUUUAAAUGUGUGUAGAAUCAGUGAUACAAGUUAUGAAACGUUUGGCUCACGUUUUUAUUCAUUGUUUUGUGAUGGUUGCAAUUACUAUAGCAAACAUUUCUUGAAAGUAGAAAAUAAAAACCCAGCAUCCCUUUAGCUAAGUAAUUUG
rnacentral:lncRNA from 13 species